ACUGCCCUUAGAGACAUUGCAGGUGUGGCUGUUGUGUCACAUGUGUGUCAGUAGGUAGCAGAGAGGAAAGAUUCUAUGUCUAUUUAUGCUCAGUGUUCUGACUUGUGACUAUCAAAAUAAUUAGUAGCCUAAGACU
ensembl:snoRNA Gm25756 small nucleolar RNA SNORA17